CCCUCCUUGCCCAGGUGAAGAGGAAGAAACCUGAGCACUAGGGUCACGCCCCUUCACUUGCCGGGCUUUAACCGCAGGUGCGCUUGGGACGCAGCGGAGCCAAAGCUGGAGGGACGCCCCUGGAAAGGCUCGGCGCCACCUUUUCCCUGCAGGUUCCUUCCAGCUCUAAAAGUCCAUGUUCCCCUUUACUUGAAUGAAUCUAACACCUCUUCAAGCUCAUUGCCACUACUACAAGGUAAGCCACCAUCACCUCUUACCUGGACACUGCAACUACCUCCAAACCAAUCUCCCUAUCUUCACUCUUGUCCUUCUAAAACCUGUUCCCCAGAGUGAUCUUUGUUUACCAAAUUAGAUGUGUUGUUUUCUUUUAAAAAUUUUUCAGUGGCACUCCUGCGCUCAUACAAGUAAAUGCAAUACCAUGACUUAUCUGGCUCUGUGCGUCAGCCACACAGGCCUCUCUCUUCAUGAAAUGUACUACAUAUGUUCUGUCCCACUAAUGCACCUUUGCACACUCUGUUCUCUAUGCCUGAAUACUCUUCUCCAUCUACCCCCACUCUUUUUCCUUUAACCAGCUAACUGAUUCAUUCUUCAGCUAUCAGCUCAAAUAUCACUUCUAGGAAGCCUGGCCUGAUUGCCCCACCCCAGACUGAGUCAGAUCAUCUGCUCAAUGUUCUCAUGGCUACCUGUACUUCUCUUUCAAAGCACUUUUUAUAGUCUGAAACCACUUUGUGUUCUUAUUGAUUCAACGUGGGUCGCCCUAUUGUAAUUCGCCUUGGUGAAUUCCAAGAGGUUAGAGAUAGGUGGAUUUUAUCACCAGUGAAUAUUUGAUAAAUGAAUGAAAAAAUAAAUUUCAAAUAAAUAGUAUUUCAUCCACUGUUCAAUAACUACUUUCUGGAUGCCUGUCAUGUACCAGGCACUAUGCUUGACCACAGGGAUACAGCAAUGAACAAAAGAGAUAAGAACAUUGUGUUCGUGUAACUCAUUCUUCAGAAGGAAGCAAGUAAAAAAGACAUAAGAUAGCAAAUGUUUUGAAGGCAGUGAAACAGGAUAAUGUAAUGAGGCUGGAUCUGAUCUCAAGUUAGGUCAGAAAAACUUUCUGAAGAAAUGACUUAAACAAUGAGCCAACCAAGAGGGAACCAUGUUAUAAGCAAUAAAAAUAGCAAGUGCGGGCUGGGGUUGUAGCUCAGUGGCAAAGUGCUUGCUCAGCAUGUGCGAGGCUCUGAGUUCUAUUUUCAGAACCACAUAUAAAUAAAUAAAGGUCCAUUGACAACUAAAAAAAUAUUUAAAAAACAACAAGUACACAGGCCCUGUGUCAAUUGUCCAUUUGAGACUUGUAGUCAUUAAUUUGAAGCAGGAUUUCUUAACCUUGGCACUACUAACUUGGAGUCAGACAAUUCUUUGUUGUCCUGUGUAUUCUAGGAUAGUUAGCAACGUCCCUGACAUCUUUCAAUUAGAUGUAGUAAAACAUUCCCCCACACCCCAGUGUGAUAAUCAAAAAUAUCUCCAGACAUUGCCAAAUGUCCUAGGAAGGAGAGGAGCAAAGUUUGUCCCAGUUAAGAACUGUUGAUUUUGAAGGGUUAUGGAAAAGUAAUAUUCCUGUACGUGGUCCUCAAAGAUAAAAGGGAGAAAGGUGCAGCUCAGGAGGGAGGAGAGACUAGGCAAGAAUUAACCUCCCAACAUAUUCUUUCCUGAUAACAAUGGGUCCUAAAGGAAAGGGGUGGAUAUUGACCUUGACCUUCCCCCAUUGCAAAUUAAUCUUAAAGGAAGCACAGCCAAUAACAAUGGGCAAGAUUUGAGUACUCAUCCCUCCGGGUCUGGUUUUAACCUGUACAACUAGCCCCUGAAGGUCAAAAACUGCAUAUGCACAGCUUCCAAUGAUUAUAUGAUCCUCAUUGUACCCUAUAAACCCAAAAUCUCCCCUGUAACUGCUGGCCUUUUGUGUGUGUGUGUGUGUGUGUGGUGCUGGGGAUCAAACCCAGGGCCUUGGGCUUGCAAGGCAAGCACUCUACUGACUGAUCCAUCUCCCCAGCCCUGGUGGCCAUUUUUGAAUCUGGAAAAUGUGCCCCACCAGCACCCCGAG